rnacentral:rRNA from 1 species
UGCAAUUUUAUUGUACUAAGGUAGCAUAAUCAAUUGCCUUUUAAAUAAAGGAUAGAAUGAAAGGACAAACGAAUUUUAGACUUUCUUUAAAUUUCAAAACAAAAUUACAUAAUGAGUAAAAAUUCUCAUUAAAUCAGAAAGACGACAAGACCCUAUUGAACUUCACACACGUUUAGCUGGGGAAGCAAUUUAACAAAAUCUUAAAAAUAAUCUUUUAAAAAAGAACCUUUUUGAUAUUUGACCAAGUUACCAUAGGGAUAACAGCAUAAUAAAAUUUUAAAGCUCAUAUUUUAAAUUAAGUUUAUGACCUCGAUGUUGAAUUAAUAAUCUAGUAUAAUGCAAAAAUUUACUAAGAAAGACUGUUCGUCUUUUAAAUAAUUACAUGAUUUGAGUUCAGACCGGUGCAAACCAGGUCGGUUUCUAUCUUCUUUGACUAGUUAUUAGUACGAAAGGACCACAACUUAUUUAAAUUUACAAAUUUGACAGAAUAAUGUAUUAGAAUUAGAAUCUAACUAACCUCCCCCAUAUUACUAAUUAACUCAGUUAUUAUCAUAAUCUCUAUUCUUUUAAGUGUGGCUUUUUAUACUAUACUUGAACGAAAAGUUUUAAGCUACAUUCAAAUCCGAAAAGGCCCUAACAAAGUAGGUUUCCUAGGAAUUUUUCAACCAUUUAGCGACGCCAUCAAAUUAUUCACUAAAUCCUUUAAUUUUCCUGUCCCUACUAAUUACAAACUAGCAGUAAUUGCCCCCCCCAUAAGAUUUUUACUCGCCUUAAUCAUGUGACCUCUUCUCCCUUUUGGUAAAAAUAAUAUUAUUGACAGAAUUUUCAGCCUCCUUGUAUUUUUAAUUAUUUCAAGCUUAACCGUUUACUUUA